rnacentral:sRNA from 1 species
GGCCUGAUAACACUUUACCCGCAUGGAGACUCAGGACCUGACCAGGUUACAGUAUAGCCAGGAUAUACCCAGUCACUUGGCCGAUGAGCAUGCGCUGAUAGCCUCCUAUGUGGCCCGUCUGCAGCACUGUGCACGUGUUCUGGACAGUCCUAGCCGACUGGAUGAGGAACACCGUCUUAUAGCUCGCUAUGCUGCCCGGCUGGCUGCAGAAGCAGGAAACGUGACUCGUCCUCCCACUGACUUGAGCUUUAACUUUGAUGCCAACAAACAACAAAGACAGCUUAUUGCAGAACUGGAAAACAAAAACAGAGAGAUCCUGCAGGAGAUUCAGCGUCUCCGCCUGGAACACGAGCAGGCCUCCCAGCCCACCCCUGAGAAGGCACAGCAGAACCCCACGCUGCUGGCAGAGCUGCGGCUGCUGAGGCAAAGGAAGGAUGAACUGGAGCAGAGGAUGUCGGCCCUGCAGGAGAGCAGGCGGGAGCUGAUGGUCCAGCUGGAAGAGCUGAUGAAGUUGCUGAAGGCUCAGGCCACAGGGUCACCACAUACAUCGCCCACCCAUGGAGGCGGCCGGCCGAUGCCCAUGCCAGUGCGCUCCACGUCUGCCGGCUCCACCCCCACCCACUGUCCGCAGGACUCGCUGAGCGGAGUCGGGGGAGACGUGCAGGAGGCCUUCGCACAAGGUACGAGGAGAAACCUCCGCAAUGACCUGCUGGUGGCAGCUGACUCCAUCACCAACACCAUGUCAUCCCUGGUGAAGGAGCUCCAUUCAGGUGAAACCCAGAGCUCCCAGCCAGCUUCCCGGCCACCCCUGCCUUGCCCGCGCCCUUCUCACUUCCUUGCCAGCGCCGGCAGAACCUCACCACCC